GACAGACAGGACAGGGACAGGGGGACACGGGGACAUGCAGGGCUGAGGGGGGGCUGGGAGGGGGUGGGGAGGAGGCGCCUACCUUCUGGCAAACCUGAAAGACAGAUUUCUACAAAGACAAACAGAAAGAAGGUGGCGUUGGGGGGCGGCGCUGGGGGGCUGGGGGAGCCACCCCCUCCCCGCAAUGGGGUCACCCCACCUCUCCCCCCCCCCCAGACUGCCCCCGAGUCUCCCAGAAGGAGGUGGGAUCAGCACAGGGAGGGGAUAAUGGGGGAUCAGCACAGGGAGGGGACAAUGGGGGACACAGAGGGAACACGAGCUGAAGGGGGGNNNNNCUGUGAGGACAGUGAGGGACAUAGGAUGAAGGAAGGGGACACGGGACAAGAGGAGAGGACACAGGGGUACGUGGAGAGUCCCAAGGGAACACAGAAGAGAAGGAAACAAGGGGGGAGACAUGGGGAGGGAACACAGAACAGUAGGGAGAAGGAGGAGCAACAGGGGGACACAGGAGUAGAAUGGGGACAAAGGGGACAUGGAAAGGACAAAGGGGGACCCUGGGGUGGGGACAGCGGUGGCAUAAAUGGGGGGAUGAUGACCAGAGGAGCACAGAGGCACCACAGGCAGCCCUGGAGUGGGGAUGAAGGGGACACGGAGGGGACAAAGGGGGACACAGAGGGGACAAAGGGGGACCCUGGGUGGGGACAGCGGUGGCACAAAUGGGGGAUGAAGACAAGAGGAGCACAGAGGCACCACAGGCAGCCUUGGAGUGAGGAUGAAGGGGACAUGGAGGGGACAAAGGGGGACAUAGAGGGGACAAAGGGGGUCCCUGGGUGGGGAUAGUGGUGGCACAAAUGGGAGAUGACGACAAGAGGAGCACAGAGGCACCUACAGCAGCCUUGGAGUGGGGAUGAAGGGGACAUGGAGGGGAUGAGGAAGACACAGAAGGGACAAAGGGGGACAUGGAGGGAACAAAGGGGGACCCUGGGGUGGGGGCAGCGGUGGCAUAAAUGGGGGAUGACGACAAGAGGAGCACAGAGGCACCUAGAGCAGCCUUGGAGCGGGGAUGAAGCAGACACAGAGGGGAUGUGGGGAACCCCGGGGUGGGGACAGAGGGAGAACACAGAGGGGACGUAGGGAACACGGAGGAGCCACAGAUGGACCCCGGAACGGAGCCGACGGGGGGGGGAACACAGAAGGAAGAGAUGGAAGGAAGAGGAGGAGCCAGGCGCUCACCUGCGCACGAACUUGGAGGUGAACUUGCUGAAGAGGCUGGCUGAUGGCCCGCGGCGGCCCUGGCUGGCACCCGAGGGGGAGGCGGGGGGCACGGCGUAGGGCAGGGGGGCCUGGUCCCGGGCCUGCCUCAGCUGCCCGGCGUGGAAGGUGCUGCGGCUGGAAACGCCGCGUGGGAAACUGGGCCGCUCGCACAACCCCUGGCUGAUGUUGUGUGCGGAGGGCGAAGCCACGGGAACCCGCGUUGGAGCCGCGCUGCGGGGAGACAGAGAUGGAUGUUAUUUUGGGUUGGGGGUGGGGGGGGCUGUGAGGUCAAUUUGGGGCGAUUUGGGGAGAAGUUUGUGGCACUGACACACCGUGACGACCCCAAUAGGAGCUCAGAGACGGGCAGGGGGUGGGAUGCUGCCACCCCGUGACACCCCAUAGACAUGCAGGGGACGCCGCCACCCCAAUAGGACUCAGAGGGCACGCUGUCCGUCCGUCCAUCCCCCCAUCCAAAGUGACCCCCCACCCCCAUGUGAGGAUCCUGGGGGGGGGGGGGGCCUUGCCUGGGUCGGGACCCCUCGCAGUUGGCGUCGCUGGGGGCCGCGGUGCUUUUCGGGUGCUGCCG
ensembl:lncRNA